CAGGCUGUUACUGAGAUCCUUCAGCAUCGGAGACCACAAACCCUUUAACUCGUCGUGGGUCCACCAGGAACUGGGAAGACUGCUACCUUGGAUGAGGUGGUUCUUCAAGUUGCAAGGAACCAUGUGGAGGACACCCCUCUCGAUGCACUGUAAGUGUUUGUCUUUCUAAAUGGCUCAGUAUACAAUCUAAUGCUCUCCAGGAUUUACUACGUUCUUCCGAUAAACUUGGGAGUCAAGGCCACUGCCGACAGGCUUCUUAAAAUUGGAUUCAAGCCAGACGAGGUGAUCGCGCUGUAUUCCGAGACGGAACAUCUGAGGGGGACAAAUUUGGCCACUGGAAUGUCCCAGCGCGCGUACCGGGUGAAUCACCUGCCGACAUCCUGCGUUGUGAUUGGCACCCCAAUCUCCAUUGCGCGGAUUGGUCAUACUUUUGGCGAGAGCAACCCACCAUCACUCCUCGUGCUAGAUGAGGCCGCUUACAUGAAGAUCAGUGAGGCCUUCGCCCUCAUGACCUGCAACGGCGAGGCGGUCCAGACAAUCCUCGCCGGGGACCGGAAGCAGCUGAGGCCCCGUUCAUUUAGCAAGAUCGCCGAGUCUCUUCAUGGCAAAUUUAGUAUCUUCGACCUGACAGCAGAAAACGGUUAUUUCAAGGAUGAUGGGAUGAGGCCAAAGGUAGGACUGGGGGUGAUGCUCUGAGAAAAUUACCGGGCGCAUGAAAAUUUGGUGAAGGGUGUUUCAACACUUUCUUACGAAGGACUCAUGUUCCCUGCACCAGUCUCGGCAAUCAGUCACAGCUUGAUUUUGCUGCGCCAUGGACUCAAGACACUUGGACUUGACGCUGACAGGAAUCCCCUCCGCUGGGUCAACGCCAAUGGACUAAUGGAGCGGGAUGUGAUGACAUCCUCAUUGUUCAACCUCGAGGAGGCUGAUGUGGUGGCCUCUGUGGUAUCCUCCCUCUUCCGUUCCAUCCCCCCGAAUCAGAUUAUGGUGCUGGCUCCAUACAGGAAGCAGGUUGUUGUGCUCCGGGAGAAGCUGCCGUCCACCGUCACUACGUUCACUGUCGACGAGGUGAUUGGCCAGGUACGGCCAGUGGUCGACGUGUCCCUCGUCCGCAGUGAACGUAGUGGGCCCAACGCGAAGAACCAUGGGGUAGGAUUCCUCAAGGAGCCGAACAGGGUCAACGUUCUCAUUUGCCGUGCUAAGGAGAUCGUGAUCCCGGUCGGCUCCAGGAACCACUUCCACAACAGCCGCAUCAGCUUCUAGCGCAUCCUGAGGACCCA